rnacentral:rRNA from 1 species
UACAGAGGUCUCAAGCGUUGUUCGGAUUCAUUGGGCGUAAAGGGUGCGUAGGCGGCGGGGUAAGUUUGAUGUGAAAUCCCGGGGCUCAACCCUGGAAUGGCAUUGAAUACUGCCUUGCUAGAGUACCGGAGAGGAAACUGGAAUUUACGGUGUAGCAGUGAAAUGCGUAGAGAUCGUAAGGAAAGACCAGUGGCGAAGGCGAGUUUCUGGACGGUAACUGACGCUGAGGCACGAAGGCCAGGGGAGCAAACGGGG